UACGGGGGGAGCAAGCGUUGUUCGGAUUUACUGGGCGUAAAGGGCGCGUAGGCGGUUCGCUAAGUUGGAUGUGAAAACUCUGGGCUUAACCCAGAGCCUGCAUCCAAAACUGGCGGACUGGAGUACUGGAGGGGAAAGCGGAAUUCCUGGUGUAGCGGUGAAAUGCGUAGAUAUCAGGAGGAACACCGGUGGCGAAGGCGGCUUUCUGGACAGUAACUGACGCUGAGGCGCGAAAGCUAGGGGAGCAAACAGG
rnacentral:rRNA from 1 species